rnacentral:lncRNA from 1 species
CAGUCACAUGGUUAACACACUUGGGUGUCUCCUUUAUUUCAACAGGAUCCCAGAAUAACUGCCUCCUAUUAGAAUCAAUGAGACUUGAAAGUGCCCAAUUUUAGCUUGGUUGGGCUCAAUCUGUUUCACUCACAACUAAUACACUGAUUAAAAAAUCAAUAAGAAGGAACAGAAGAUGCCUCUGUUCGGGUACAGGAAAAAAGAGAAAGAAACGCCAUAUGCUUCAGACAAAAACAACACACAUGUGGGAACCCUUCGUACAAGCUUGCACAUCUGCCCUCCACGGUGUCAUUACCGGAUGCCUUUGUAAAGGUGAGCUAACCCUAGAUUCAUCAACAGACGUCAGUGAGCACAAUUAUCCUCUGCAAAAUCAGCUCAAAUAAAUAAUUCAGAGCGGGAGAUCAAGUGAGGCCCAUAGAGAAUUUAGUA